rnacentral:rRNA from 1 species
CUGCAAUUAAAACUGCUCGACUAGAGUUUGAUAGAGGAAAGCGGAAUACAUAGUGUAGAGGUGAAAUUCGUAGAUAUUAUGUAGAACACCAGUUGCGAAGGCGGCUUUCUGGAUCAACACUGACGCUGAGGCGCGAAAGUAUGGGUAGCAAAGAGGAUUAGAUACCCUCGUAGUCCAUACCAUAAACGAUGAUUGCUAGAUGUUGGAAAUUUAUUUUCAGUAUCGCAGCUAACGCAUUAAGCAAUCCGCCUGGGGAGUACGACCGCAAGGUUAAAACUCAAAUGAAUUGACGGGGACCCGCACAAGCGGUGGAGCAUGUGGUUUAAUUCGAAGAUACGCGCAGAACCUUACCAACCCUUGACAUGUCUGUCGCGAGUUUAGGAAACUAGACUUUUCGGUUCGGCCGGACAGAACACAGGUGCUGCAUGGCUGUCGUCAGCUCGUGUCGUGAGAUGUUGGGUUAAGUCCCGCAACGAGCGCAACCCCUACUUUUAGUUGCCAUCAGGUCAUGCUGGGCACUCUGAAAGAACUGCCAGUGAUAAGCUGGAGGAAGGUGGGGAUGACGUCAAGUCCUCAUGGCCCUUACGGGUUGGGCUACACACGUGCUACAAUGGUAGUGACAAUGAGAUGCAAGGUGGCGACGCUAAGCUAAACUCAAAAAUCUACCUCAGUUCGGAUUGCACUCUGCAACUCGAGUGCAUGAAGCUGGAAUCGCUAGUAAUCGUAGAUCAGCGUGCUACGGUGAAUACGUUCCCGGGUCUUGUACACACCGCCCGUCACACCAUGGAAGUUGGUUCUACCUUAAAGCAGAUUGCUAACUGCAAGGAGGCGUUUGACCAAGGUAUAGUCAGCGACUGGGGUGAAGUCGUAAAAGGUAACC